CCUACGGGUGGCAGCAGUGAGGAAUAUUGGUCAAUGGACGAGAGUCUGAACCAGCCAAGUAGCGUGAAGGAUGACUGCCCUAUGGGUUGUAAACUUCUUUUAUAUGGGAAUAAAACGUUCCACGUGUGGGAUUUUGUAUGUACCCUAUGAAUAAGGAUCGGCUAACUCCGUGCCAGCAGCCGCGGUAAUACGGAGGAUCCGAGCGUUAUCCGGAUUUAUUGGGUUUAAAGGGAGCGUAGGUGGAUUGUUAAGUCAGUUGUGAAAGUUUGCGGCUCAACCGUAAAAUUGCAGUUGAAACUGGCAGUCUUGAGUGCAGUAGAGGUGGGCGGAAUUCGUGGUGUAGCGGUGAAAUGCAUAGAUAUCACGAAGAACUCCGAUUGCGAAGGCAGUUCACUGGACUGCAACUGACACUGAGGCUCGAAAGUGUGGGUAUCAAACAGGAUUAGAUACCCGAGUAGUC
rnacentral:rRNA from 1 species